rnacentral:rRNA from 1 species
UACGUAGGGGGCAAGCGUUGUCCGGAAUCAUUGGGCGUAAAGAGCGUGUAGGCGGCUCGAUAAGUCCGCUGUGAAAGUCCAGGGCUCAACCCUGGAAGGCCGGUGGAAACUGUCUGGCUAGAGUCCGGAAGAGGAGAAUGGAAUUCCUGGUGUAGCGGUGAAAUGCGCAGAUAUCAGGAAGAACACCCGUGGCGAAGGCGGUUCUCUGGGACGGUACUGACGCUGAGGUGCGAAAGCGUGGGGAGCAAACGGG